AUACAGGGGGUGCGAGCGUUAAUCGGAAUUACUGGGCGUAAAGAGUACGUAGGCGGUUGCUUAAGUCAGAUGUGAAAGCCCCGGGCUCAACCUGGGAACUGCAUUUGAAACUGAGUGACUAGAGUUUAAGAGAGGGGAGUAGAAUUCCGGGUGUAGCGGUGAAAUGCGUAGAGAUCCGGAGGAAUACCAGUGGCGAUGGCGGCUCCCUGGCUUAAAACUGACGCUGAGGUACGAAAGCGUGGGUAGCAAACAGGAUUAGAAACCCUAGUAGUCC
rnacentral:rRNA from 1 species